CCUACGGGUGGCAGCAGUGGGGAAUAUUGCACAAUGGGGGAAACCCUGAUGCAGCGAUGCCGCGUGGAGGAAGAAGGUUUUCGGAUUGUAAACUCCUUUUAUCAGGGACGAUAAUGACGGUACCUGAAGAAAAAGCAUCGGCUAACUCCGUGCCAGCAGCCGCGGUAAUACGGAGGAUGCGAGCGUUAUCCGGAUUUAUUGGGUUUAAAGGGUGCGUAGGCGGAAGGUUAAGUCAGCGGUCAAAUGUCGGUGCUCAACACCGGCCUGCCGUUGAAACUGGUCUUCUUGAGUGAGCGAGAAGUAUGCGGAAUGCGUGGUGUAGCGGUGAAAUGCAUAGAUAUCACGCAGAACUCCGAUUGCGAAGGCAGCAUACCGGCGCUCAACUGACGCUGAGGCACGAAAGCGUGGGGAUCGAACAGGAUUAGAUACCCGAGUAGUC
rnacentral:rRNA from 1 species